rnacentral:tRNA from 1 species
GGGCCUGUGGCGCAACUGGUUAGCGCGCCUCAAUGGCAUUGAGGAGGCUAGGGGUUCGAGUCCCCUCAGGUCCACCA